AGGACGAACGCUGGCGGCGUGCUUAACACAUGCAAGUCGAGCGGAAAGGCCCUUCGGGGUACUCGAGCGGCGAACGGGUGAGUAACACGUGAGUAAUCUGCCCCUAGCUCUGGGAUAGCUCCGGGAAACCGGGAUUAAUACCAGAUACGACCACUUUAGACAUCUGCUGUGGUGGAAAGAAUUUCGGCUAGGGAUGAGCUCGCGGCCUAUCAGCUUGUUGGUGAGGUAACGGCUCACCAAGGCGACGACGGGUAGCCGGCCUGAGAGGGCGACCGGCCACACUGGGACUGAGACACGGCCCAGACUCCUACGGGAGGCAGCAGUGGGGAAUAUUGCGCAAUGGGCGAAAGCCUGACGCAGCGACGCCGCGUGGGGAUGAAGGCCUUCGGUGUAAACCCUUUCAGCAGGGACGAAGCGAAGUGACGGUACCUGCAGAAGAAGCGCCGGCUAACUACGUGCCAGCAGCCGC
rnacentral:rRNA from 1 species